AAAAGGCAGAACACUAGAGCUGAAGCUGCUGUUUGCUGGCAAUUGCAUGGUUAGAAAAGAAUUGCUACUCUUAGUGCUCUAAUGCUCCUAAAUUUGCCCCAGUCUGGCCAGGAAAUACCAGCUCUGCUCCUGGGAGAGCCCAGCAAGGGAGGUCUGUGGCAGGGAGCUGCCUCCUCCAAGCAGGUGUCCUGACAAAGGGAACUGCCAGAUCCUUUCAUUUCCAUGCACAAGGACUCAAAGCCUGGCUGGCAGCAAGAGCCAACAGAUCCAGAGCAACAGAGAAUCUUAAACAAAGCUAAUGGAGCGUGGAAAAAAGCUCCAAACAAAAAUGGAGCUGAAGGGGAGAAGUGAACGACACUGAGGAAAAGGCAAGGACUAAACACAGCCUGAUCUGCCCACCUUCCUCCUUUGCUGCUGCCCCUCCAAGGCUGCACCCGAGGCCAGCACUGCUGUUCACACCUGCCUGCACUUUUCCCAGCACUUUGUGUCACCUGCCAGCUCUCCUGCAAACAAACAGGCUGCUCCCAGCCAGGCCUGCAGCUCCCAGGCAGCACAGAGCCACGCAGGCAGCUGGCACUGCCCUGCUCACCCCACACUCCAGCUGGCACUGCCCUGCUCACCCCAUAUUUCAGCAUAUUCCCACAGGAACACCUGGAUCUGUUCAGUGCUCACCAUGCUCCUGGCAGAGCACAGCCCCUGUCCUGUCAGUCCCUAUCCUGUCACACAGCCCCUGCCCUGUCACAAUUCCUGUCACACAGCCCCUAUCCUGUCACAGAGCCCCUGCCCUGUCCCCACACCUGCACAGGGACACCCAGCACAUCCCACAUGCCUCAGUGCUGUCCUCACACAGUGAUCCAAACAAGGCAGAGCUGUUGCAGUUCCCAGAGCUGGAAAAUGGGGAAAGCUUCAUUUCAAGCACCCACCACACCCCGGGGUGCUCAGAGGUAGCAGAGCUGCCCAGCUCAGGUGGGAACACACCUGUGCAGCUGUGACACAAAGAGGGGAUGCCCAGAGUCCUGCAGGU